GCUAUCCAAAUUCUUGCUGGAAUAGUGGAACCUGUGCACUGACUGAAAAUGGCUACAGAUGUCAUUGCCCGAUACUAUACAAUGGAUGCCUUUGUGAAAUAGAGAAUGACCCAUAUAAGAAUAACCCAUGCAGCCAUGGAGACUGCCUCAUCAUAAUUGUGCCUCCUUAUUAUAAAUGUAAAUGAAGACAUCCUUAUCAGCCUCCAACAUGUACCAACGCAACUGCUAUUUGUGAUCCAAAUCCAUGCCGUUAUGGAGGAACAUGCAUGCAUAGAGAGAACAACAGAGCGUUCAAGUGCAUCUGUCCAGCGUUAUCCCAGGGAGAGCUUAAUGAAAUAGGAAUCGUUGACUGCUACACAGAAGAUAAUGAGUCCACACACCAAUGACAUGCAAGCCAUGCCAGAAAUGGAAAGAGAGGUCUGUAUUGGGAUUCCCACUUAAUUCUGUCACCACAAAUGAUUCUCCAGAUGUAAAAUAAUGGAAGUGAAUUUGAAGAACAUAACUACUGCAG